rnacentral:rRNA from 1 species
AGAGUUUGAUCCUGGCUCAGGACGAACGCUGGCGGCGUGCUUAAUACAUGCAAGUCGAGCGGGGCUAUGUAAUAUCGCAAGGUAGAACAUAGCCUAGCGGCGAACGGGUGAGUAACACGUGGGUAACCUGCCUGGAAGACAGGGAUAACGAUUCGAAAGGGUCGCUAAUACCUGAUAAUAUCCUUUCAUCGCAUGGUGAUAGGAAGAAAGGGGAAACCCGCUUUCAGAUGGGCCCGCGUCCCAUCAGCUAGUUGGUAAGGUAAAGGCUUACCAAGGCGACGACGGGUAGCCGGUCGGAGAGGAUGUACGGCCACACUGGGACUGAGAUACGGCCCAGACUCCUACGGGAGGCAGCAGUGGGGAAUAUUGCACAAUGGGGGAAACCCUGAUGCAGCGACGCCGCGUGAGCGAAGAAGGCCUUCGGGUCGUAAAGCUCUGUCCUAAGGGAAGAAUAAGACGGUACCUUAGGAGGAAGCCCCGGCUAACUACGUGCCAGCAGCCGCGGUAAUACGUAGGGGGCGAGCGUUGUCCGGAAUUACUGGGCGUAAAGCGCGCGCAGGCGGCUUGUUAAGUCAGGUGUCAAAAUGCGGGGCUCAACCCCGUAUCGCACUUGAAACUGGCAGGCUUGAGUGCAGGAGAGGGAAGUGGAAUUCCUAGUGUAGCGGUGAAAUGCGUAGAUAUUAGGAGGAACACCAGUGGCGAAGGCGACUUCCUGGACCAUACCUGACACUCAGACGCGAAAGCUAGGGUAGCAAACGGAAUUAGAGACUCCGGUAGUCCUAGCCCUAAACGAUGCAGACUAGGCGUCGGCGGUUUAAUCACCGUCGGUGUCCAAGCUAACGCGAUAAGUCUGCCGCCUGAGGACUACGGCCGCAAGGCUAAAACUCAAAGGAAUUGACGGGUCCCCGCACAAGCAGCGGAGCGUGUGGUUUAAUUCGAAGCAACGCGAAGAACCUUACCAGGUCUUGACAUCCCUCUGGCAGGUAUAGAGAUAUGCCCUCUUUUCGGAGCAGAGGAGACAGGUGGUGCAUGGUUGUCGUCAGCUCGUGUCGUGAGAUGUUGGGUUAAGUCCCGCAACGAGCGCAACCCUUACUUUUAGUUGCCAUCAUUAAGUUGGGCACUCUAAAGGGACUGCCGGUGACAAACCGGAGGAAGGUGGGGAUGACGUCAAAUCAUCAUGCCCCUUAUGUCCUGGGCUACACACGUGCUACAAUGGUCUGUACAGAGGGCAGCGAAGCAGUGAUGCGUAGCGAAUCCCACAAAACAGAUCUCAGUUCGGAUCGCAGGCUGCAACCCGCCUGCGUGAAGUAGGAAUCGCUAGUAAUCACGGGUCAGCAUACCGUGGUGAAUACGUUCCCGGGCCUUGUACACACCGCCCGUCACACCACGAAAGUCUGCAACACCCGAAGCCGGUGGCCUAACCCGCAAGGGAAGGAGCCGUCGAAGGUGGGGCAGGUGAUUGGGGUGAAGUCGUAACAAGGUA